GACGAACGCUGGCGGCGUGCUUAACACAUGCAAGUCGAACGGAAAGGCCCUGCUUUUGUGGGGUGCUCGAGUGGCGAACGGGUGAGUAACACGUGAGUAACCUGCCCUUGACUUUGGGAUAACUUCAGGAAACUGGGGCUAAUACCGGAUAGGAGCUCCUGCUGCAUGGUGGGGGUUGGAAAGUUUCGGCGGUUGGGGAUGGACUCGCGGCUUAUCAGCUUGUUGGUGGGGUAGUGGCUUACCAAGGCUUUGACGGGUAGCCGGCCUGAGAGGGUGACCGGCCACAUUGGGACUGAGAUACGGCCCAGACUCCUACGGGAGGCAGCAGUGGGGAAUAUUGCACAAUGGGAGGAAGCCUGAUGCAGCAACGCAGCGUGCGGGAUGACGGCCUUCGGGUUGUAAACCGCUUUCGCCUGUGACGAAGCGUGAGUGACGGUAAUGGGUAAAGAAGCACCGGCUAACUACGUG
rnacentral:rRNA from 1 species